rnacentral:tRNA from 1 species
GGGGACGUGGCGGAAUUGGCAGACGCGCAACACUUAGGAUGUUGUGCCGCAAGGCGUGAGAGUUCGAGUCUCUCCGUCCUCACCA